rnacentral:rRNA from 1 species
GAUGAACGCUGGCGGCGUGCCUAAUACAUGCAAGUCGAGCGAACAGACGAGGAGCUUGCUCCUCUGACGUUAGCGGCGGACGGGUGAGUAACACGUGGAUAACCUACCUAUAAGACUGGGACAACUUCGGGAAACCGGAGCUAAUACCGGAUAAUAUAUUGAACCGCAUGGUUCAAUAGUGAAAGACGGUUUUGCUGUCACUUAUAGAUGGAUCCGCGCCGCAUUAGCUAGUUGGUAAGGUAACGGCUUACCAAGGCAACGAUGCGUAGCCGACCUGAGAGGGUGAUCGGCCACACUGGAACUGAGACACGGUCCAGACUCCUACGGGAGGCAGCAGUAGGGAAUCUUCCGCAAUGGGCGAAAGCUUGACGGAGCAACGCCGCGUGAGUGAUGAAGGUCUUCGGAUCGUAAAACUCUGUUAUUAGGGAAGAACAAAUGUGUAAGUAACUAUGCACGUCUUGACGGUACCUAAUCAGAAAGCCACGGCUAACUACGU